AACGAACGCUGGCGGCAUGCCUAACACAUGCAAGUCGAACGAAGCCUUCGGGCUUAGUGGCGCACGGGUGCGUAACGCGUGGGAAUCUGCCCUGGGGUACGGAAUAACAGCGGGAAACUGUUGCUAAUACCGUAUGAUGUCGAGAGACCAAAGAUUUAUCGCCCUGGGAUGAGCCCGCGUUGGAUUAGCUAGUUGGUGGGGUAAAGGCCUACCAAGGCGACGAUCCAUAGCUGGUCUGAGAGGAUGAUCAGCCACACUGGGACUGAGACACGGCCCAGACUCCUACGGGAGGCAGCAGUGGGGAAUAUUGGACAAUGGGCGAAAGCCUGAUCCAGCAAUGCCGCGUGAGUGAAGAA
rnacentral:rRNA from 1 species